CGGAGCACGCCGGGAGUUGUAGUCCCGCCGUCGCACGGAAGCCGACAGGGACGCGGGGCGCCAUGUGGCCGGCAGUCUUGCCCGGGGGGUCCCGGGUUGCGUCCGGACGGUGGUCCGCGCUGGGUCCCCUCCUGGCCGCCCGCUGCCCCUGGCGGCGGAGCCUGCACGCGACGGCGGCCCGGGCUGCGCCGCUCAUCCCCAUCGUGGUGGAGCAGACGGGUCGCGGCGAACGCGCCUACGACAUCUACUCGCGGCUGCUGCGGGAGCGCAUUGUGUGCGUCAUGGGCCCGAUCGAUGACAGCGUGGCCAGCCUGGUCAUCGCCCAGCUGCUCUUCCUGCAGUCGGAGAGCAACAAGAAACCCAUCCACAUGUACAUCAACAGCCCUGGUGCGGUGGUGACCGCAGGCCUGGCCAUCUAUGACACCAUGCAGUACAUCCUGAACCCAUCUGUACCUGGUGCGUGGGCCAGGCCGCCAGCAUGGGCUCCCUGCUGCUGGCCGCUGGCAGCCCAGGCAUGCGGCCACUCGCUGCCCAACUCACGCAUCAUGAUCCACCAGCCCUCGGGGGGCGCGCGGGGCCAGGCCACGGACAUCGCCAUCCAGGCCGAGGAGAUCAUGAAGCUGAAGAAGCAGCUGUACACCCAUCUACGCCAAGCACACCAAGCAGAGCCUGCAGGUCAUCGAGUCGGCCAUGGAGAGGGACCGCUACAUGAGCCCCAUGGAGGCCCAGGAGUUCGGCAUCCUGGACAAGGUGCUGGUACAUCCGCCCCAGGACGGCGAGGACGAGCCGGAGCUGGUGCAGAAGGAACCUGCGGCAGCCCCAGACCCUCCCCACGCCAGCAGGGGUCCUGAGCCCUGGGGACUCUGCCACCCCGGGACCUGCAAUCCCAGGAAACUGACAGGGGACCCCCCCCAGACCCACCACCCUAGGAUCUGGGGGUCCGCCUGGAGCCCACCACGCCAGCAGGCUCUGAAGCCUGGACCCCACUCCCUUAGGACCUGA